CACAUUUCGGCUGUUCUACAUAGUUUAACGACGAAUGUACAUAAUACGUAUUUAGUAAAUUACUCUUUAGUAAGGUUAACUAAAAUUGUGAGUUGCUCGUUGUGGUUUGCUACUUGGGAUGUCUGAUACGUAAUCAGACUGUGGUAUAAAUUAAAGUUAAUUGUCACUUAGCUAAUGUUAAAUUGGCGCAAUUUACGUAUUCCUGUACAGUUGUUUCCCUGUUAAUCCCGGCACCGGCAGCAUGGUGCCGUGUGCAUUUUGCCUUUCGCGCGUUACAGCUCGCUCUCACUCGCAUUCGUGUUUUCGGCUACAUUCAUGCUGUUACGUUCGAAUUUUUGGAAUUUCGCUAAAAUCUUCCAGCAAUACCCUUCGUGUCGUUAAUUAACGGUGAUCAGAAGCUUUCUGCAUAAUGCCAACAAAGAAAAAGCCUAACCGAAACCCGAGCCCGAAAAAACCGCGCUCUGGCGGCGGCACCAGAGGAGGCCGGGCUCCACAAUCCAGGACGCGUCCCAGUCGAAAACGCGACCGAUCCCAGUCCCCUGCUCCUACAAUCAGGUCGAAAGAAAGCCGUAGUUGUGGAUCCACCGGUACCCGAUUUGCAAACCAUGAUGGUGCGACAGGACCAACAGCAGCGACAAAUCCAACAGCUCCUGGAUAUUGUCACACCGCUGACACCCAGGGAGCUUGGGGUUCCCCGGCCUAUUUCUCCAGCAGCUGCAUCUGUCAUCCAGAUUGAGUCGCAAACGGACGGAAAAAGGGAUGUGCACCAGCAGAGGAAGCAGCGGACGCGCGCAUUGCCGACGAAGAAGUAAAAGCAGCAGUUUCCAGGAGCCGCUCGUCGUCUCGCAGCCGCUCACCCGCCCGCCCGCCGAUUUUCGACCGUCUGGGUCCACAUCCCUGCGGUCAUCAACGAAGCGGAUACCGCGCAUCAUCGUCCGCUCGCAACGCUCUGCUCGAUCGAGCGAAGCACCUGCCAGCAGUCUCCAGCAGGGUUCGCCGGCGACUAGCGGACCUAACGCGGUACGUCGAUUCUGAUUGCUUGCUACCAAAAAACCGGGUGGAAAAACCGAAGGAUGGAUGCUCCAAGCUGGUAAUGUCGAGAGGACACGUCGUGUUAAAGCCAAACGGAGUGCGCGUAGUCGUUGACACCUUCACCUCCUGGAUCCGCGCCUUCUCCGGUUCCUGGCAUACCGCGUCACAAUCGUGCCGGAGCUAGCCACGGCCCUGGCUAAGUAUCAAGAUCUGAUUGCGGCAUACAUCAACAGGGGGGUUCCGACCGCCCAUUGGCUCUAGUAUGACCGGCAAUUCAGAUCGCUCAUGACAAGACACCCUCAUGAAGUUGACAUGUGGGCCCGCCAGCAUUACGACACUUAUGCCGACUAUAUUCAGAACACCCUUCCCGAAGAGGCCGCCAACGAUAGCACCUCAGAGGGCAAGACGAAAAAGCCAGCAGCAUCCGCAGACAAAUGCCGAAAUUGCGGAGAAGUGGGACACUUUAUUGCCCAGUGCAGGCAACCGCGUCGUGGCCAAGCAGGUUAUGUCCCGCCCUUUCGCCCCACCCCAGCAGCGGUGGGCAACAUCUGCCGCAAUCAUAACUACAGUCACUGCACUGAGCCCUGCAAAUAUCGGCGCCUUCACGUCUGCGAGCACUGCCGGGGAAAAGAGCACAAAGCACCCCAGUGUAAGUCCAGAAGUCGCUGAGUCGUCGGGAGUUCCUGCAAGCGCUCAUACGCCCCUGCGUGCUGACGCUUUCGCAAGGCUGCUCACGGAUCACCCUGACAACCAUUUCCGUCAGUUCAUCCUCAUCAUUUUGCGCGCCGGAGCCGACAUUCGGUAUACAGGACCGCAACAAAGCCGCUGUACAAAUAACUCGCACUCCGCACGAGUUCACCACGAUGCGCUCCUGCACAGCAUCAGAAAAGAAGUUUCACUGGGUCAUACCAUUGGACCAUUUUCUUCCCAUCCGUUACCCCACUUCGUUGUUAAGGCGCUGGGGUGCCGUCCGAAGAAAGACGGAGGCCAUCGGAUCAUAAUAGACCUUUCUCAAUGCUACGGAAACAGCGUUAACGAUCACAUCAGGGGUGACGAGAUGCCCCUGCAGUACUGUUUAGUCAAUGACGCCGUACGCCUAGUUGUUACCGCCGGCAAAGGUGCAGUGAUGGCCAAGAUGGACGUCAAGUCCGCGUUUCGUAUCACUCCCGGCCGGGCGUGCUGACUGGAACCUACUGUUAUUUAAAAUCAGCGGUGAGUACUUUUUCGAUGUAGUGCUACCAUUCGGUUGCCGCUCCUCGCCGUACAUCUUUGAGUUUUUCUCCAUUGCUAUUCACUAGUGUGUGGGAAAGAGGGCACGGCUGGAUACUUUGCUGCACUACGUAGACGAUUUCUUCUUUAUCGGCAAACCCCGGACGAUCGAGUGCGAUCUGCUCAUGUAGUCCAUGAAGGCAGCGUGCAGCGCGCUUGGGGUGCCCUUAGCUCAGGACAAAACAGAGGGCCCCGCUACUCGGCUGACAUUCCUCAGCAUAGAGAUUGACUCGGUGGCGCAAACUCUAAGCCUGCCCCAAAUUAUGCAGCAAGAAAUCUUCGAAACCCUUAAGAAUUGGAUCGGAAGGGACUCCUGUACCACUAACGAGCUGUAAAGUCUAAUUGGCACGCUAUCCUUUGCCUCAAAAUGCGAACCAUCCAGUCGGCUGUUUUCAAGGCGGAUGAUAAUGCUGCUUUCCGCCUUCCACGGACGUUCCAAUAUCACCCUCACCGACGACUUUCACCGUGACCUGAAUUGGUGGAAAACGUUUUUGCCCCAAUGGAACGGUACUGCUUCUUUCUGGAGCCUGGCUGGACCACCUCCGAAGCUUUGCAUCUUUACACGGAUGCGUCCGCCACGCUCGGGCUGGGAGCCUUUUAUAACAACGAGUGGUUCCAGCUGAGGUGGCCGGAGUGGAUCUCGCAAAGCUCGCCAUCAAUUGAGUACUUGGAGAUGGUCCCCGUCCUCCUUGCGGCUAUUGUUUGGGGGGACGCUUGCGGCGACGGAAAGUCAUUUUUCAUACUGACAACGCCGGCGCUGUGGAGGCAUGGGCACACCUGCGCUCCAGCAGCCCGGCGUCCUUGAUCUCAUGCGGCACUUGACGCGGGCGGCGGCUGACAGUAAUUUUACCUUAACCUUGAAACACGUUUGUGGCGUUGACAACGGCAUAGCUGAUGCCUUAUCUCGUUUUCAGAAAGAGUGGUUCCGAAAGCUGGCGGCCCAGGCGUUACAGUCGCCAACACCAUGCCCGGACAUCUUGGGGAGCCUGCAGGAGUCUUACGGCCAAACCCAGUCCUGCAGCGCCUCCCCGGUGCAAACAUUUCCUCAUCAUCCCGAACAACAUACGAUUCUUCGAUGAGCCGCUUCCGAACAUUCUGCGUCGCAAAUCGCGUAACGCCACUCCCAGCAGCUCCUGCGACGGUAGCUGCGUUCGUCGCGCAGCUUUUUGAGGACAAGGCAGAUUAUCGGACAUGCAAAGUGCAUCUGGCGGCAAUUCACAAUCACCAUCGAGAAGCAGGGCUUCCUAACCCAACAACCGACGAUCUGGUCGUGCGGGCGGUUGGUUGAUACAAACGGCUUAAGGGUCCGAUGCCUGACAAAAGUCUACCGAUUACGAUGAACGUGAUGCGCAUGCUUAAAACGCGACUGACUAAGCACGAUAACACCGAGGAGGCCGUGAUGAUGUGGAGCGCGUUCUGCAUGGCUUUCUUUGGGUUCAUGCGAGUCAGUGAGCUAGUCAGCAAGACGUCCAGCUCGUUCGAUGUGACAACAACUCUGACAUGCGAUAAUAUACGGUCGACGGGCGGGCGUGUGAUAGUCUCUCUGAAACGGACGAAAACGGACCAGUGCGCAGAAGGCACUAGGAUCGAGCUCACCGCCACACACCGGCCUGUGUGUCCCGUACGCGCCAUCGAGGCGUACCAUCGACAGCGAGAGACGCAAGGCGAAAGUGCGAAGCAUUUUUAUCGCUACCCCGACUGUCGCUACCUAACGCGGGAGCGGUUGGACCGAUGCCUGAAGUCUCUCCUGGAAGGCCACCCCGAUCACCGGCGUUUCAGUACGCACAGCUUCCUCACUGGAGCGGCGACCGAAGCUGACGCCCAAGCGCUACCGAAGGAAGAAAUCAAGCGAGCCGGACGAUGGAAAAGCGAUUGCGUGGACCGUUACAUCCGGCCUGAUGCGCUUACCAACCCGAAUUCUAUCGGAGAAAAAUUUGUUUGGGGGCCAAGGGACCGGGCAUAGGCGGAAGGUGCCGGCAGUGAGCAAUCUGUACCCCAAGGUAAGAUACUCAGCUGUAAUUGCGCAUUUCCGGCCAUGCCGGCACCCUACAAACCUCAGUUACCGCACGGAAAGUCUGCAAUAUCCCAGCAUACCGGAUCCCAGGAUCGAAAAUUCGCUUACAAUUUAACAUGUAUUAUGAAGAGCAUUGGAACGCCAGAGUAGUACAGUAUUGCGUGGCUGGAAGAUGGGCCCGAAAUGGUGAGUACGACGUUUUGCACUGUCAGCUUUAAAUCGCACCAGCUUUAAAAUUUGCAAAACUUCUAAAUGUUCAACUUUUCGUGAAUACGUUUUUGAUCGCAAAAUACAAAUACUUACCCUGUUUUUAUCGCGAUUUUAUUGGAAUCUUUUUUCUAAUGUCGGCAUUUUUGACCAAUUUUUUGACGAUAAUUAUUGACUGGUCGAACGUCAUUAACGACCGAACCCAUCCCCGGCACGAUCAGAUCGAACCCAUUCCCGGCAAAUUUGCAAAACUCCUAAAUAUUCAACUUUUCGUGAAUACGUUUUUGAUCGCAAAAUACAAAUACUUACCCUGUUUUUAUCGUGAUUUUCUUGGAAUCUUUUUUCUAAUGUCGGCAUUUUUGACCAAUUUUUUGACGAUAAUUAUUGACUGGUCGGACGUCAUUAACGACCGAACCCAUCCCCGGCAGAACAUCGGACAGACCAGACGUGGCACUAUGUCCGCCAGAAGACCUGUGUGGCCGCAACGAGACCACCAUGGUGGUGUUCCAUGUUGUUCCCAGUAAUGAAGGGUCGUUUGCCGGCGUGGAUGAAGUGAUCUCCACCAAAUGAUCAAACCUGAUGAUAUGUCAGUUGAUUUUUAAGUAGAUUUAUUAAGUACUUAUUACGUUUGAUACACAAAAUGGGUUGCCCUGCCCUAACGUUGCCUAAAACAAUUUGUUUUACUGACAAGAGAAGGAACGAUUUGCUUAAACACUCAGAGUUUGUUGCCAUGUGCUGAAUCCAGACUCAAGCGCUCUAGAAGGACAGUAGUGCGGCGGCUUCCUCCUGCUUCUUCUCUGUCGUAUAUGUACGACGAAUUCUCUUGCCGACUUGCCGAUACUGCUACCAGACGUGGCACUAUGUCCGCCAGAAGACCUGUGUGGCCGCAACGAGACCACCAUGGUGGUGUUCCAUGUUGUUCCCAGUAAUGAAGGGUCGUUUGCCGGCGUGGAUGAAGUGAUCUCCACCAAAUGAUCAAACCUGAUGAUAUGUCAGUUGAUUUUUAAGUAGAUUUAUUAAGUACUUAUUACGUUUGAUACACAAAAUGGGUUGCCCUGCCCUAACGUUGCCUAAAACAAUUUGUUUUACUGACAAGAGAAGGAACGAUUUGCUUAAACACUCAGAGUUUGUUGCCAUGUGCUGAAUCCAGACUCAAGCGCUCUAGAAGGACAGUAGUGCGGCGGCUUCCUCCUGCUUCUUCUCUGUCGUAUAUGUACGACGAAUUCUCUUGCCGACUUGCCGAUACUGCUACACAAUCCACCAACGUGACCUGCGAUUUUGAAGAUUUUAAGACCUACGGCUGGUAGUCUACAAAUGGCUGGCGCCGGUGAGCGGUCCCCACGGUCCGCCCGGUUACGGCAUCAGCGAGGUCAUGGAGGGCUGUAUGCUGGUCAGCAGCAGCUCCCUGCCCACUCUCAACCGGCCCGUCACCCUCAUCGUCCGCAGCAACAUUUUCCCUGCUGUCCGCAGCGUUUUAAGCUUUUUCUAACGCGCCUACGGCCCGUGCAUCCACCCCCUGCAGUUAUUCGCCAUCCGGGCUUAUGAACGUUUCGUCCGAUGGGAGACCAACAAUUUCACCCAGCUCUGGGUCAACGACGUGGCACCCUUGUGUUUCAACGAUUCCUCCAAGGUUAGGUGGUGUUCCUUGACUUUUGACUGGUCACGGCCUGGUGGCGGUGGCCACCCCUCGUGGCUUCACCGGCCGCCGGGCCAGUAGCAUCAGUCCCAGCAUCAGCGCUGUUCGGUCCAUCAAGCAUCAGUCCCAUCAUCAUAAAAACACUGUUCGGACACCAGCCGGCAUUCCAGUUCUAUAAUUAUCGCGUCAGUGGUUCGUGGUUCCAUCGGCGUCUCGCUGUCACCAUCGCCGGAUACCUGGAUGCCGAGAGCCCCCUGUACAGUGUACACCGUCCCCCCAACCAUUCAGGAGCAGUGGCUGCCGGUUAUACCGUCACCUUCUGCAGCACUGAGCAACAGGUGAUCCUCCGGGUGUCGCUAAGUGCUCAUUAGUCAUUUCAACUAUCUGGCACCGGACCAGGUCCUCGUCAUCCAGGACACUAUUGGUAAAUGGUAUUUUGAAAAACAUAGCGAUUUUAAAAACACUUCUUUCUCAGAAUAUAAAACAACAAGGAAAAUGGAGUAUUUUUGAAAACAAAAUAGGAAAAUAGGCAAUGGAAUACUUUUCAAAUAAAUAAAAAAUGAAUAAAGAAGUUAAGGUCACUUUGAUUGAGAAUUUUUUCCAAAAAUUCGAGAAUAAUACGUAAGUAGAACUCCUCUUGGA